UUUUAGGUCCCUUCCAACCCAGGCCAUUCCAUGAUUUCUCCCUUUAGAAAGGCAACCCCAUUUGCCUGAACCGGUAGGUUUAAUACAUGGAGGACAUUCAGACAUUUAAUAUUCAAAUUAAUUGCCAGAAGCAGCUCCUCUCUAAAAGCCUAGCAAGGUAAAGUGUUGUUUUCCCCUCUCCACAGGAGCAGGAGUGGAAUAUGAAAGGAUCUGGCAGCCAGCCAGCCGUUCUGCUGGAGCCAGGCUUUCCACUCCACGUCUCCCUACCCCGUAUCAUUUGCUUGCAGCAAGACAAAUGCCUGUGAGGAUGCCAAAGAAAGGAGAGCAGAGGAGGAAAACACAGUCUGGCACCUUCUCUUCCUGCCCUGGCUCUCCUAGGAGGUGGAGCUUGGUGAUUCCCUGAGCAGGUGCUGUCCCUUGGAUGAGAGUCACUGCCCAGAUGUAGGGAGUGUUCCUGGGAACCAGCAACUUCAAGGGUCACCAGGAGGGAGAAAAAAGCACCUGCAGAGAGCAAUCCUCAGCCUGAAGUGGUGUCCCAGUUGUGUUUCAGGCCCGUAACAGUUUCAAGCUUCAGAUCAAACACUGUGGAGGAGCUACGAGGUGGAGGGAGAACCAUGAUCCAUGUUCAUGGUCCUGUGCCAUGAUCUGAGCCCAGCACUGAUUCCAGGAACAUCUGAGCACUAAAUAUAACAGCCUUGCUCACUCAGCAGCUUCGGGUCCAGCAGAUACCACCCUGCUUCAGGACAAGGGCCGAAGGUCACCCCCUGCCCUGCAGAAACCAGAGGCACAGCUGUGAGAAGCACAUCUCCAAUCCAACAGCAUCACCAUUCCCAAGGCCUCCUGGAGCCAAGGGUGUCCAGCAGCAGGGGGGUAUCAGCAGGAUGCUCUGGGCAGGUUUCUGGCCACUCUGCUCCUUUGGAUGCCCGGCUGGAUGUGUGGAUGUAGGUGCCUGGUCCCUGCUGGUGUCACCUCUGCCUGGGAGCCUGAGCUUGGAUUUCACCACCGUGCAGUGCACCAGCCAGCCCCAGUUUCUAACUUCCUUGUAGGAUGCAUUUCACAACCCCUGUGUUGGUUUGUGUCUCAGCUGUUGCUGUAGGAUACCACAGCUUCUGCCUGUGAGCCUUUGCUUGUUUUUCUCAUCUUUCUAUGGCCUUACAGACGUAAAAAACUGUAGGAGCACACAAGUUCAGGGUUUCUAAAGGAAACUGUGGUCUGAGACAUGCAAAGAAAUGUCAGUGGUAGAGAGUUACACUCGUGGUUAGUGACUGUUUAUUUGUUUUGCUAAGUAGAAGCAGGUGUUACAGAGUCAGGAUAUUCGGGGUUGUGUUGCUCAGAGGGCUGGGGGUUGAAAACCUUCUCGCCAGUGUUAAUCAUACUGUUUUUAGACACAAGAAGCAGAACACAGGGGACAGAGAAGAACGAUUUUGCUUUGGUCUUUCAACAUUAAAAUCCUUCAAGUUUC